AACGAACGCUGGCGGCAUGCCUAACACAUGCAAGUCGAACGAGACCUUCGGGUCUAGGGGCGCACGGGUGCGUAACGCGUGGGAACCUGCCCGUAGGUUCGGAAUAACUCCCCGUAAGGUGUGCUAAUACCGGAGAAUGUCUUCGGACCAAAGAUUUAUCGCCUUUGGAUGGGCGCGCGUUGGUUUAGCUAGUUGGUAGGGGAAAAGCAUACCAAGGCGACGUUCCAUAGCUGGUCUGAGAGGAUGAUAAUCCACAAUGGGACUGAGACACGGCCCAGACUCCUACGGGAGGGAGCAGUGGGGAAUAUUAGACACUGGGCGAAAGCCUGAUACAGCAAUGCCGCGUGAGUGAUGAAGGCCUUAGGGUUGUAAAGCUGUUUUACACGGGAUGAUAAUGACAGUAACGGGAGAAUAAGCUCCGGCUAACUCCGUG
rnacentral:rRNA from 1 species